UAGAAAGUAAUAUAAGGGAAGUAUAGAGGAUUUUGAUUCCUUUAGUGUGGGUUCAACUCCCGCUUUUCUAA
rnacentral:tRNA from 1 species